AUUUUCACAAAGUACCAAAGCCUUGUAUAACCACUUCCUUGAAGAUGUCUUCCAUUUUCUGAAACCACAUCAAUCCACCUAUUUGUAGAAGAGUUAGAAUAUCAAGACAUCUAAGGAAAAAUCAUACCUUGAAAAAUCACAUAUGAGGUCCCCAGUCACAUCAGGUCACUCCUCCGUUUUUGGACUUGGAUGAAAUAACACUCUAGAGUACAAGGGAUCUCUCUUCCUGAGUGGCACUGAGGGAGUCAGAUGAUGUAACAGUAUAAAGAGAAGUUCUAUGUGUUGAGUGAGUACAUCUGCUAAGCAACCUGAGGCAUCUCUUAGUGACUCAUCAUGCAAUGGUGACCAGUGUUGUAACACAAUGCAUUAAAUUGCUUUGCAACUUCCUUGCCCCACUUCUGUUUUUCCUUCUUACGUUAGUGGGCUUGCAUCUUCCAGAUAAAAUAAUAACAUCUUAAUCUUGACUUCAAGCUCUCCUUUUUAAAGGAUUGAGCUAAGUCACCUUAUUUGUAUCAUUAGUUUUCAAGCCAACUAGUACUUUACGUUCUUUUCAUUCCCACUGUCAAAUCCUUGCUCAAGAUCCUAUAGUCACAUAAAAUUUUCAAAAACAAUAAUUACAAUCUUAUGCUACAAUAGUACAAAGUUCCAAAUAUAGGAAUACUGAAUUUCUGACAUUAGAUUAUUUGUAAAACAUUUAUGGAGAAUCCAAAUAAUCAUCAGAAGCAGUGCAAAGAAGUUCAAGACCUAGUCUCUGCCUUUAUGAAGCCCCAUUUAGUAGCCUAGAGAUUGGUAAUGGGAUAGUUGCAAACAGAGAGGUAUAGUAAUGCAGGUAUAGUAAACAUGUGGGCUCUUACAGGUGGCAAGCAGGACAAGUUAUUAUACAAGUCUUUCUCAUAUCUCUGAAAUCAUAUCACAUAAACAACUAAACAGAAACCCAGAAUUCACUGAACCAACUCUGUUUCGUUAUGAAAACAGCCGCUCAGCAGCAGCAAAGGGGCUAACUGGUACAUUUCAUAGCAAUGAAAACAACCUGCAAAGAUAUUUGGAUGCAGAAAAAUGGAAGCAUAUUGAUAACCUGGCCUAGAAUGGUAACAUUUCUAUUACAUAGUUCAACAAAAAUAAAGCGAUUUUAACAGAAUCAUGUCAAAGGACCCAUGUCUCAUGCUUUGAAAACAAAUGUGUUGGCUUCCAGUCAACAUUUCCAGGGCUUAGCAGCAGGAGGUCAUUACCCUUUGACAAUGUUUGGUUACACAGACAUUAUCUCCAAUUAACAGGUUUUAACAACAAGGAUUUCUCUUUUAUUUGAAAAUGGUGUUAUUUUUUAAAUAAAUAACUACAGAAGUUAUUCAGUAAUCUUGUCUCAUUGACUUGGACUGGAUUAUAUUUACUCCUGUAAACACACACACACACACACACACAUCUGAGG
rnacentral:lncRNA from 1 species